AGGAGGAGGAAGCCUGGGGGUAGGUGAUAGGCAGCCAGGAAAACGCUGGCCUGGGGAACACCAAGUGGAAUUUUCCUCUGGAAACCCUAUUGAAUUAUGUGCAUGGACUAUUACUCAGCCAUAAAAAAGGAUGGAAUCUUGCUAUUUGUGACAACAUGGAUGGACCUAGAAGGAGGAAGACAAAACAAAACCCAAUAGAAUGACAACAUCAACAGAAGAAAUCCUCUGAGCCAUCUAGCCCCUAGCAGCAAGCCAAGAAAAAGCAAACCAGGAUUAAGAAGUGAGUGGAUAAUCUGGGAUGGCAGAAGAAUGAAAUAAACAGUUUCUGCAGCCAGAGAUCUUCCCUUAGGCUAGAAGGUGACACAAGCAAUUUUCUCUGAACCAUCUCCACUUAAGCAAUAAAUCAAGUA